GCUGCCCUUCACUCAGAGCAUCUACACCCACUACCGGUGAGUGUGGAUCCCGGAGGAACUGUGGC
ensembl:miRNA